ACCCCUAAUUCCUUACCCUAGAAAUGAGCAGCUAACACACACAAAAAGAUUCCCACCCCUUCAUAAAAACGGACCGAGAAUUGGGGGUGAGAGAACAGACUAAAAAGCACAGAAGAGGGAGAGGAUGAGAGAUCUGGCAAAAACAAAAAUCUAGCAGCCUUCUUCUUGUUCUUCUUCUCCCUCACCAUUUUAUCACCCACAAAAAAAAUAUUUCAUCUUCCCCAUUUAGCUUCACCAUAGAGUCACUGUUCACUCCUAAAAUUUAGCCUAAAACUAGCCAUGGACAUCACCUAAACUCCAGCUCCAAACAACCAUGAAAACGGGCUAUAAACUUCAUUAAAACACCUUGAAAUUUCAGCUCGAAAUCGCUCUCAAAAGCAACUCCAAAAAAACAAGUUGAAAACAGCCCCAACCCAGCAACAAUGAGCUAAUAUUCAGCUCAAAAAACCCAGCAAAAAACAGCCACUAAACCACCGAUUUUGCAAGGUCGGUCGAGCUAAUAGCAGCUCGAUAAGUGUUGAUGUUUCUUUUGGUAUUUUCUUCUUUGUACGCAACAAAAAGUUGGAGGAGUGUAUAGCGCUGAAAGGGUUAAUGGCUUAUUAGCUGCAAACUGGAUAAGCUUUGCACGCCAGAAUUACUUCGAUUCACACGGCAUUUUUCUUUCCACACUCUGGUCUAGGCCUCUAUUGGUUAUUGCGAUAAUAAUCUUGGUUAAUACCCUCUUUUCACUAUGUUACCUGAUUGUGAGGUGGAAAAAAGCCGAGCUUAGACACCGGGCCAGACUAGCUCGUAACAAGGAGGAUUAACAAACAUAGUGCUGCUCUGCUAUGACUGGAGCAUAGGGUAGGCUCUGCUAAUGGCUGAUUUUCAGAGAGAGAAAGGCAUGAAUGUGUUUGUGAGAGAAAAUUUUAGGAUUCAACUUUUACUUUUCCAAAAAUAGUUUUGUGAAUAAAAAUAAUGACAUGGAAUAUUUUUA